ACUUUGUUUCAUUCACUACCGAAGUUAAACCAUUUCCGACCUAAUAUAAGUUAUGUACUUGGUAAAGGUGUUAUCCAUUAUGUGUCAUGUCAUUUCUUUAUUUAUCAUAUUCCUUGCAUUUAUUUAUUUUAUCAAUAUGUUAAUAGUCAUAAUGCAUUAGUGUACUUUGAGGUAUUCUUAUUGAGAUGUCCCUUUUUUAGCUUAUUUAUUGUAUGCAUUCCAUAUUUUGUUCAUAAAGUUUUCAAGUGUUUGUGGCUGUUUAAAGUUAUAUUUUACUUUUAUUGUCUGCAAAUGUUUUGGUUUUUUUAUUUUUUUUUUGACCAUUCCUUUCUAUCUUUCUAGUGCAAGUAGCAUUGUUUGAAUUCUGAUUGUAUACCCCAACCAAACAAGCUUUGAUGGCUUAAGUUUUAUAUGAGUCAAUUUUUCCUUGAAAUUCCUGGAAUUGAUACAGACAUUUUUCUGAAACUUUAAACAGGUUUUUAGGAUCAUAAAACCAGUGCACAUUCCAGGUCAAAGGGACCUCUGCUGCACCUUCAUGUUGUAACUCUCUGUUAAAGAUGUGUUAAACACUAUAGAUAAUUGAUCAGUGUGUUAAAGAAUCCAUUUCAAAACAUGUUGUACAUUAUGAAUUCCAUAUGAAUGAAAUCUUUUAACAUAUAUGUAUUUAUUAUACCAUAAUUUCAUAUCACAUGCGCAACUGCGUUAUUUUGUUUUUCUGCGCAUGUGAUAUUAUUUUUUCAUAUCGCCCGUUUAGAAAUUGAUACUAUUGCACUCACGUCGCCGUCGCUAUUGGUUAAAGUUUUUGAUAAAGUCAAAUAUCUCUGUUACUAUCAAAGCUGUUGACUUGAAACUUAAUUAUUUACUAUCAAAGUCUACACCAGGAGAAUUAAUCCCCAUGACGCUGAUUUGAGUUUUGACAGAGUUAUGCCCCUUUUUAACUUAGAAUUUUUUGGUUAAAGUUUUAUAAAUUUUUACUGGCAAAGCUCUAAUUCAGAGUCAAGUACUGAGAAAAGUCGAGUGUGCUGUCUUACGGACAACUCUUGUUUAGAUUAAUGUUAGCGUAUCAGAAACCAGAUGGUACCAAUUUAUUUUGAUAGUAAAUGUCAUUUAUCCAUUGACCCCUCACAUAUAGAGAUGUUUACAUAUAGAGAGCAGACUAUUUAAAGGAAGAAAAAUCCUGUUAUGGACUGGAUGAAUCUUCUGUAGCAUUCAUGGAUUGAUCUUUCUCAUUUUUUUCUUUUUCAAAGUGUUCCCCUUAAUCCAUUUUAAGGCCCACAAGUUCAAAAAUAGAAACACAUUGAAAUGAACUGCUUCUUCAUCAAACUGAGUCUAUACCCUUGUACAAACUGCUCUCAAACUUGUCCAAGUUGUUCUGCUUGACCUCCUCUUUUAAGGGCUGCUAGUACAUAUACUAAAAACUCUAUAAUUGCUUCUUUAAGCAAACCAGAAAAUUUUCCGUCAGUCACUAAAUGAAUUGCUCAAUAUGCCUCGUUUGUUUCAUUUGAUGUUUUGAUAGUUUCUAGUGAUAUUUUGUGCAAAGUGCAAUUUUUUUCUAACACAUUGGUACUUAAAUUGUUGUUUUAAUAAUUUACAGGUGCAGUGGUUAUUUUGCACUUUGUAUAUUUUUGUUAAGUGGGAGUCUGUAUUGUAGAUGUAAUUGGUAAAAGACAAAGCAGCCUAGUUCUAGUAGAGUUUGAUUGCUUAAUUAAACUCGUGUCAAAAAUAGUUGUUCAAAGAAAGGCAAUCACAUAGUAACAACUUUUAAAUACACAACCAAUCGCAUAGUAAAAACUUUUAAAUACAAUUUGCAUCCAGUUUUCUUAUGAUCAGAUUUGGUUCUUGUUUUGAUUAUCAUCUUGUCAGUGCUAAAAGCACAUGUACAAUAGGUUGCCAUCAAAUUUCCGUCACUGCAUGAAAAUAUGUCACACAUAUACGUGUAUCAGUAAAUCACACAAGUCAGUAACUUUUUUGCUUCUGAAGUGUAAAUUUGUAAAUCAAAAAAAGCUUUAUUGGGAUUUAGAUUUUAAAAAUGCUGACAACAGUGAACAUUAAUGGCAAAUGUGGUAUAUGGACAUUCUGAUAAUCUAAUAUUCCAAUGUUAAUUUUUAGCUCAUCUGAUUUUUUGAAAAAAAAUGAUGAGUUAUUGUCAUCACUUGAGCGGUUGUCGGCGUCGGCGUUGCCUGGUUAAGUUUUAUGUUUAGGUCAGCUUUUCUCCUAAACUAUCAAAGCUAUUGCUUUGAAACUUGGAAUACUUGUUCACCAUCAUAAGCUGACCCUGUAUAGCAAGAAACAUAACUCCAUCUUGCUUUUUGCAAGAUUUAUGGCCCCUUUUGUACUUAGAAAAUAUCAGAUUUCUUGGUUAAGUUUUAUGUUUAGGUCAACUUUUCUCCUAAACUAUCAAAGCUAUUGCUUUGAAACUUGGAAUACUUGUUCACCAUCAUAAGCAGACCCUGUACAUCAAGAAACAUAACUCCAUCUUGCUUUUUGCAAUAAUCAUUGCCCCUUUUGGACUUAGAAAAUCAGUUUUCUUGGUUAAGUUUUAUGUUUAGGUCAGCUUUUAUCCUAAACUAUCAAAGCUAUUGCUUUAAAACUUGCAACACUUGUUCACCAUCAUAAGCUGACCCUGUACAGCAAGAAACAUAACUCCAUCCUGCUUUUUGCAAGAUUUAUGGCCCCUUUUGGACUUAGAAAAUAUCAGAUUUCUUGGUUAAGUUUUAUGUUUAGUUCAACUUUUUCUCUUAAACUAUAAAAGCUAUUGCUUUGAAACUUGCAACACUUGUUCACCAUCAUAAGCUGACCCUGUACAGCAAGCAACAUAACUCCAUCCUGCUUUUUGCAAUAAUUAUUGCCCCUUUUGGACUUAGAAAAUCAUUUUCUUGGUUGAGUAUUAUGUUUAACUCAACUUUUCUCAUAAACUAUCAAAGCUAUUGCUUUAAAACUUGCAACAGUUUUUCACCAUCAUAAGUGGACACUGUACAUCAAGAAACAUAACUCUAUCCUGCUUUUUGCAAGAAUGAUGGCCCUUUUUAGACUUAGAAAAUCAUGGGUAGGACAAUAUUUCUAUUAUACACAAAAAAUUAGAUGAGCGUCAGCACCCGCAAGGCGGUGUUCUUGUUCUAUUUAUUCCAAUCCUUACUUUAAACGGCUCCUUGUUAUCUACUUUCUUAUCUGCUCAGUAGAUAUAUACCAUUUGUUGUGUAGCAAGCUUGUAUGGACCUCUCAAGUUUGUUUGGAUAAGACCGCUUAAUACCAUUUAGGAGUGGCCAGAGCUAAAAACAGAAAAUCCUUUAUAUUACUUCAUCUCAUGAACUGCUUGACAGAUCUUUACUAAACUAGGCAAGAGGACUGCCAGAGGUAUAAAUAGAAAGUCUGGAAAACCGCUUUUUCUUAUGAACUGCUUAUAGAUCAUUACCAAACUAGGCAAGAGGACUGCCAGAGGUAUAAAAAGAAAGUCUGUAAAACUGCUGUUUCUCAUGAACUGCUUGAUAGAUCAUUACCAAACUAGGCAAGAGGACUGCCAGAGGUAUAAAUAGAAAGUCUGUAAAACUGCUUUUUCUCAUGAACUGCUUGAUAGAUCAUUACCAAACUAGGCAAGAGGACUGCUAGAGGUAUAAAUAGAAAGUCUGUAAAACUGCUUUUUCUCAUGAACUGCUUGAUAGAUCAUUACCAAACUAGGCAAGAGGACUGCCUGAGGUAUAAAUAGAAAGUCUGUAAAACCGCUUUUUCUCAUGAACUGCUUGAUAGAUCAUUACCAAACUAGGCAAGAGGACUGCCUGAGGUAUAAAUAGAAAGUCUGUAAAACCGCUUUUUCUCAUGAACUGCUUGAUAGAUCAUUACCAAACUAGGCAAGAGGACUGCUAGAGGUAAAAAUAGAAAGUCUGUAAAACUGCUUUUUCUCAUGAACUGCUUGAUAGAUCAUUACCAAACUAGGCAAGAGGACUGCCAGAGGUAUAAAUAGAAAAUCUGUAAAACUGCUGUUUCUCAUGAACUGCUUGAUGGAUCUAUACCAAACUGUAGCUUCUAAGCAUGGUGCCAUCUUAUGUUUGUUCAAAUGAUUCCGCCUGACCCCUUUUAGGGGUCACCAGAGCUUAAAAUAGAAAGUCCUUUAAUGGUUUCUUCUUGUGAACUAAUGGAUGGUUAUUUACCAAAAUUUGGUCUGUUUAACAGUUUAGCUCACAUUUUUCCGGUCUGGUCAGUAAGUGUCCUGCAUUAAUUAAUAUUCACAGAACUUGACACUAACAUUCACCAUAACAAGAUAAUACGUAACAAGAUAAUGUGUCAUGUGCAACAUCCAGACCCCUAGCUCAAAGGUCGCAGUCAAAUUUAUAGAGCUGAAAGAUUUUAUAUCAUUUUUCUUUUCUGGUCAGCAAUGAUUAAGUAUUUCAUUACCUAUGUUUUUGAGCUCCUCUGAAGUUUAAACAAGGUGAUAGAGAUGGCUGGUCAGUUGACCAGGAGCAUUAACAUAUUUUACUUAAACAUCUUCUCUAAGAAUACUGGUUAGAUUUACACCAAACUUGGUCUGUAGCAUGCUGGUAUUGACCUAUCUAAAGUUUGUUUAAACCUUUUGGAUUUGCCCCUUGUAGGGGCUGCCAGACCUCCACCUCCUGUAGGGGCUGCCAGACCUCCACCUCCUGAAUCUUUUGAUGGAUCUUCGCCAAAUAUUAUAUUGACCUCUGUCAAGUUUGUUCAAAUGGUUCUGCCACCAGAGCUAAAAUAGAAAAAACCUUUAAAUGACUUUAUGAAUCACCAGAUGGAUCAUCACCAAAUUUGAUCAGUAGUAUCCUUGUAUGAUCCUGUAUAGAUUUUCUUGAAUUAAUUACAACUGACCCCUUUUAAGCGCUACCAGAGCUAAAAUUGGUAAAACCUAUAAAUUCCUUCUUAAAAACCACCAAAUUAGGUUUGUAGCAUCUGUGUAAGGUCCUCUCUCAAGUUUAUUUAAAUGGUUCUGCUUGAUUGCAGGUGGGGACCGCUAGAGCUAAAAAGGAAAACUUCUUGUCAUGAACUUUAUGGACCAGAACUGAUCUAUAGCACCCUUGGUCAAUUUGGUUCAAAUUCUUACACAUUUUUUGGCCAUCAGUGCAAAAAUUAGAAAAAGGUUUUAAAUAGCUUUUAAUAAAACUGCAUAAUGGAUGAUCAACAACUUGGUUAGAAGCAAGAUCAAAAGAUCAGGGUCCUCCUUAGAUGACUGACUUCGGCCUAUAUGGGCCUGCUGCCUACUUUCUCAGCAAUGUAAUGAUGAAGUUUAAUUAAAAUAAGAUGUUAUAUAUUAAUGAAUAUUCAAAAGCAAUUAACAGGUGUAGUUUUCCAGACAUUGCAAUAUAAUUGUACAUGUAUACAUAUGUUAUUGAUAGAUAUUGGCUCAUGCUGCAGUGGAGAUAAUUUUGUAUUGUUCAGAGGUGCCUUCUUAAUGUUACAUUCAUACUUUUUCCUAUGAAGGAUUCUAUUAUUCUUAGUUUUUUAUGCUUUAAAUUAUUUGGUGAGUGGGAUCAUUUUUAUGCCCCUGGUGUCAAAGACCCAGGAGGUAUAUAGGUAUAUAGUGUUUGAACUGUCAGUCAAUCUAUCAAUCUGUUCAUCACACUGUCUGGUAUAUUCAACUCCCCCUACAGUAUUCAAACUGUUAAAUGAAACUUGAUAUACAUCAUUAACAUUAAAUGAAUAUGAGCUUAGUAUCAGGACUUUAAAAGUAAGAUUAUUUCUUGAAUCAUAGCACUUUUUUGCACUUUGAAAUAUUACAUGUGCAACUGUAUAUUGUGUACAAAAACAUUGUGUCUGAAUUCAUUCGUCCUCCACCUCUGAUUCAUGUGGGGAAGUUGGCAGUUACUUGUGGAGAACAGGUUUGUACUGGUACAGAAUCCAGGAACACUGGUUAGGUUAACUGCCCGCCGUUACACGACUGAAAUACUGUUGAAAAAUGGUGUUAAACCCAAAACAAACAUACAGACAGUUUCUACCAAUUCAAAUGAAACUUGGAGUACACCAUGAAGAUGGUAUGUUUGCAAUGUCAGGAUGUUUAUGUCUAAUUUUUAGCUCACCUGAGCAAUGCUCAGGUGAGUUUUUCUGAUCGCUUGAUGUCCGGCGUCUGUCGUCUGUCUGUCAACAUUUAGCUUGUGUAUGCGAUAGAGGCUGUAUUUUUCAAUUGAUCUUCAUGAAUAUUGGUCAGAAUGAUAACCUUGAUGAAAUCUAGGCCGAGUUCGAAAAUGGGUCAUCUGGGGUCAAAAACUAGGUCACUAGAUCAAAUCAAAGAAAAACCUUGUGUAUGCGAUAGAGACUGUAUUUUUCAAUUGAUCUUCAUGAAUAUUGGUCAGAAUGAUUGCCUUGAUGAAAUCUAGGCCCGAGUUCGAAAAUGGGUCAUCUCGGGUCAAAAACUAGGUCACUAGGUCAAAUCAAAGAAAAACUUUGUGUAUGCGAUAGAGGCUGUAUUUUUCAAUUGAACUUCAUGAAUAUUGGUCAGAAUGAUUGCCUUGAUGAAAUCUAGGCAAAGUUCGAAAAUGGGUCAUCUCGGGUCAAAAACUAGGUCACUAGGUCAAAUCAAAGAAAAGCCUUAUGUAUGCGAUAGAGGCUGUAUUUUUCAAUUGAUCUUCAUGAAUAUUGGUCAGAAUGAUUGCCUUGAUGAAAUCUAGGCCAAGUUUGAAAAUGGGUCAUCUGGGGUCAAAAACUAGGUCACUAGAUCAAAUCAAAGAAAAACCUUGUGUAUGCGAUAGAGGCUGUAUUUUUCAAUUGAUCUUCAUGAAUAUUGGUCAGAAUGAUUGCCUUGAUGAAAUCUAGGGCAAGUUCGAAAAUGGGUCAUCACGGGUCAAAAACUAGGUCAUUAGGUCAAAUCAAAGAAAAACCUUGUGUAUGCGAUAGAGGCUGUAUUUUUCAGUUGAUCUUCAUGAAUAUUGGUCAGAAUGAUUGCCUUGAUGAAAUCUAGGCCAAGUUCGAAAAUGGGUCAUCUCGGUUAAAAAACUAGGUCACUAGGUCAAAUCAAUGAAAAACCUUGUGUAUGCGAUAGAGGCUGUAUUUUUCAAUUGAUCUUCAUGAAUAUUGGUCAGAGUAAUUGCCUUGAUGAAAUCUAGGCCGAGUUCGAAAAUGGGUCAUCUCGGUUUAAAAACUAGGUCACUAGGUCAAAUCAAAGAAAAACCUUGUGUAUGCGAUAGAGGCUGUAUUUUUCAAUUGAUCUUCAUGAAUAUUGGUCAGAAUGAUUGCCUUGAUGAAAUCUAGGCCAAGUUCGAAAAUGGGUCAUCUCGGGUCAAAAACUAGGUCAUUAGGUCAAAUCAGUGAAAAACCUUGUGUAUGCGAUAGAGGCUGUAUUUUUCAAUUGAUUUUCAUGAAUAUUGGUGAGAAUGAUAACCUUGAUGAAAUCUAGGCCGAGUUCGAAAAUGGGUCAUCUCGGUCAAAACAAGGUCACUAGGUCAAAUCAAAGAAAAACCUUGUGUAUGCGAUAAAGGCAAAAAAAAUUCAAAUGAUCUGCAUGAAAUUUUGUCUGAGUGGUUGCCUUGAUGAAAUCUAGGUCACGUUCCAAUAUGGGUAGUCUGGGGUCAAAAACUAGGUCACUAGGUCAAAUCAAAGAAAAACCUUGUGUAUGUGAUAGAGGCUGUAUUUUUCAAUUGGUCUUCAUGAAAUUUGGUCAGAAUGAUUGCCUUGAUAAAAUCUAGGUCAAUUUCGAAUAUGGGGCUUCUGGGGUCAAAGAGUAGGUCACCAGGUCAAAUCAAAGGAAAAGCUUGGAUAUGCGAUAGAGGCUAUAUUUUCCAACUGAUCUUCCUGAAAUUAAGCCGGAAUGAUUAUCUUGAUGAAAUCUAGGUCAUAUUCGAAUAUGGGUCAUCUAAGAUCAAAAAGCAGGUCACUAGGUCAAAUCAAAGAAAAUACUUAUUUAUACUCAAUAUUUUUGCUCCAAUUUUAAUGAUAAUUGGUCAGAAUGUAUUUUUCCAUGAAAUCACUAGGUCAAACAUGUUUACACUGUUAUAGUGUGUUAUGGUGUGUUUCUCAGGUGAGCGACCUAGGGCCAUCUUGGCCCUCUUGUUUUAAGAUCACCUGAACUUCCUGCACUACAACUUUUUUAUACAUGGAUAUUCACUUGCAUACAAUACUCCUGCACAAAUAUACAGGUAACACCAAAAGUUCAAUCCUUUCAAAUGAAGUCUGAUGUGUUGCUGCUUUUGGAUUUCAUAUUAUAAUUCUAUCAAGCAUUUACAGGGGACAUGUGUCAUAAAAUGUUGAUAUUAUUCUUGUUUAUUGUUUAUGUAUUUAAAAGUAUAUUGUGAUUUUAUAAUGUUUGACUCGCAUAUUUCAUUAAAUGAAAUUCCGUAA